AUUUGUAUAAUAUAAUAAAUUAUAUUUGAUUUCCAAUCAAAAUAUCUAGAUACCACUAGUAUAAAUA
rnacentral:tRNA from 1 species